rnacentral:lncRNA from 1 species
GUCUUUCGAAGGCAAAGAAAACUCGUCGUUGAGGCCUUCGCGCCCUCGCGAAGCGCCGAAAAAGGCGAGAGGCGGCUCCCCCUCGACGUCGGAGGCCGCCGGACUUCCAGCCUCAAUGUCGGCAUCCUCGGGUGUAGUUCCACCCGAAAGCGAGGCUCCGGACUCGGGGCCGUCGAUCAGCCUAGGGCGGGGGCGCCCGACGACGGGAACCGAGGCGUUCUCUCCUGUCUCGCGUGCAUGUGCGGAGCCCAACGAGCUGGCGGCGCUUCUGUCAAAGCCUCUGCUUCCUCUCACUUCUUCUCUGCCCGUCCACUCUCGCGCGCGAGGAAGAGGCAGCCUGCCGCGAAGCUCGCGAGAGCGAGGCCAGCCAUGCGCCGAAAGGAAAGGCCCCGGUCUCAACGCCUCGUCUCCACUCUGCAGAGCCGACGCCCGCGGCAUACGGCGCGCUUGUCGGCGAAAUCUGCCGGCUGUGCGCGAUGCGAAAGACGCGUCCUCAGGUGUACGUACACCCGACGAGAAGAGGGGCGACGGCGCCAGGUCGUUUACGCCGGGGUCCUCGGUGUCGCGAGCCGCCAUGUCGGGAAAACUCUGGAAGUCUUCGCCUUCUUCAAAGAGCGAGUUGCCCGUCUUCCCCCAGUCGCGGUGCGCGUUCUCCGGCGAACGCGCAAAGGCAGGAAGAGAGGAGGACGACCUCUCAUCAGAUCCGAGUGCGAGAGGAAAGGGCAAAGAGCUGCGGCGCGUGUCUGGUUCUGGGCGAGACUUGGAAGCCGCGUCGGCGCAGGAAGAGGCAGGAGAGCAACCGGCAGACCCAGACAGAGAAGAAGCUGCGCGAGGAGACGGAGCAGAAGAUACGUGAGGAGACAGAGAGGAGACUCCGAGGGUGUGUCUGUCUCCGCCAGAAGAGAAAUGAGGAGACGCCGAGUCGUGAGACGUCCGCUUCAGUCCAGGACUCAGAAAUGCAGUCGCUGGAGACGAAGACCCGGCAGGCGACGAAGCAAGAGAAGGGCAACGCGAGGGAGUGCAGGCGAAAGAAGGCGAAGAGCAGUCACACGAAGAACCGUUUUCUGAGUUGAGAGCAGAGGGAGACCCGCCAGAGGCACCGCGAGAAGCAGUGACACUCGAAGAAGGAAGACUUGACGCGCGCAACGAGGCCUCCGAGGGGGGAAGCAGAGCAGAGGACUGCGGCAGAGACGGGAGAGAGACACAGACGGAGGCAGACGCACCGGGGCCUGAAAGACGUUCGACGGAAAUGGAAGUUCGAGAGGGCGUCCCCACUCGCACCGCGAGAGCCUCGACGCAGAGAGGCCCCGGGUGCGGCUUUCCCUCCUGGGAGAGAGACACGUAUCUCCCCACAAAGCAGCAAAGGAGAGACAGCACGACGAAGGCACCGCCUCGCCGCCUCCGUCCCCCUCGCCGCGCGACUGGAAGUCUCCCCGCCAUCCGAAAGAGACAGAUCGCGAACCUUCUUUCUCUUCGCCCAGAAGCGAUGCGGGAGAGGGACGGAAAGCAGAUCAAAGGGGGAAGAGAAGCAAGUCAAGGAGGAAAGCGAAGUUGGUCAAAGAAGGAAGAGAAGCUGAGAAGAAAGGCCCAGCAGGCCGAGGCGAAGACACACAAGGAAAAAGGAAGAAAGUACUUUACGGAUGUACAUGGCCAGUAUCAGCGAAGGAGAGGACCAAGACAGGGAGGGACUGACAGAGGAAGAAAAAAGACAGAGAGAAACAAAGAACGAAACAGACAAAGAAGGAGAAAAGCAGACAGAGAGGACGUAGAGGCCAGAGGAGUCUCGUGUGGACGAGACAGGCGAGACGGGAGACAGAGGCUCGCUGGUCGUCCAGGAGCCCCUGCGAGUCUUCAAGUUUGAAUUUACCAGUUCGGCGGAUAAGAAUGGCAGACACAGAAAACCGACGAGCGGAGAGGUUCCAAGAAAAGGAUAGCGGCUGGGAGAAAAGGAGCGACGAAAAAAAGCGAGAUGAAGAAGUGCAGUUUCCCCUGAGGUUGAGUGCACACUGGGGGCGCCGGAGGAGGUAUGGGCAUGAGAGGAGAAGGUCGAAGCCUCCAAGAAAGUUCUUUUCAAAGCCCCGAAUCUGCAUCGAAGCCACACACAAAGUGACGGCAUUCGCCGGCGUUUUUUCUCGCUUUUUCCAGAGGCGCGGGAAACGCGGUGUGCAGGGUGUCCAGACACCCGAGGAGCCCGCGAACUGGGGGGGACAGGCGGCGCCGCGGGGGGCGGACGAGGAGAGCGUUCUGCUCAAGACACAAUUGCUGAGCUCGAAGUGAACUGCAGAAGAGUUUCGAGAACCUUCGAUAAAAAUAACGCUUUCAGAGUGCUUCAAUGCCCGACAACUCUCUUCUUCCUCCCCUGCGAACGUUUCUUUUUUGGAAGCUCAGUACGUUUUCAGAGCCGGUCUGUUCUCUUGAGUUCUCUCCUGCGCUGGCGCGAGACCUGCGGGAACAUAUGCGUUUCGCAGGUGACAAGAAGACGCCUGGAGAGAGGCCAGCGGUCGCCAUGAAUUAGUGAAACAUAAUAGACAAGCAAAAGAGAGCGAGAACUGCGAGAGGAAGGGAGACGGAGAGGAGCAGGAACGGGAGAGAGAAAACUGCAAGAGAGGCAGAGAUGCAGACAACAGAAGAAUCUUCAUGGUGAGGAGCGGAAAGCCGAGAGAGAGGAGAACAGAGAGAAGAAAGGAGACUCAGAAGAAUGGAGAGAAGAAAGGAGAGAGAGGAUAGCAGAGAGAAGAAGGCAGAGAAGGGAGACAAGAAGAGAGACGAGAGGGGAGAGAGGGAGACAAGCAAGAAGAUGGCAAGCGAGGUGAGGAAGCGGGAGUGAAGAUGAGACGAUUCAUGAGGAGGAAACUGGAGAAGGACGAAUUCGACGUUUCAUCGGAGACAGGAAAGAGCGGGAGAAAGGCCCAUUGAAAUGGAAUGACGAAAAGAAACAGUCUGGGUUUUCAUUGAAAGCGAAAGGAUUGAAAGAGUCGGGGGAGGGAAGGAGAAAAGAGUCUUGAGGUCACGAAAUCUCGCAGGACGAAUUUCUUUGCGACAGAGACAGCAGGACCGAGAUCCUCACUUCUGACUCUUUCUCGCGGUUCCAAGACCUCAUGCAGUUUGUAGAAGCCAGAUAAACUUCACUAGUGUCUAAGAAACCAGCGUUGUGUGUCUGCCCACCCUUUUUUCUGUGGCUUUUUUCACCCUAUACUUAUUUCUCAUCUCUCUUUUUUUGUCUUGCGCUCAUCCCAUUUCUCGCUCUCUGUCGCUCCUCCCGUCUCUUCUCCUCUGUCUGUCCGUCUCUCUUCUUCGCGCGGGGAGGUAGUUUCGAGAAAUUCAGAGCGCCUCGCGACGGAGUCACUCCAUUGUCCUCCCUCAACCUCACUAGACAUGUCACUUGUUUGGUUCGAUCCUCGUUCAAAAGGUCCGAGGUGAGCUGGACCUGCAUCUCCCGCUCUCUAGUCCUCAACCUUGACAGUGUUUGCCAAGUCUACUGUACAAACAGAGGGGUGGAAAAAGCAGGCUUGGUGUCUUCUCAUGCGUUGUCUUUUGUGUCUCUGUGGGAGUCGACGCUCUCUUUUUAAGACUGAAGCCAGCAGGAGCCGAUCGCUUAUCGCGACUCGCAGGACCUGCGUUUCCUCUAUCUGCAAUCCCUCUUCCGAGGUGGAUGUGCACCCGGUCCUCGGAUGGAUUCUCUUGUCUGUGGCUCGUGAAGGGGCGACCCUCAGUGUGAAAGCGCCAAGUCCUCUUUUGACGUUUCGCGCUCUUUUUCGUUCCCUGUUUCGCUUGUGGUCAAAGGCCAAGUGGGUGGCAACCAGCCAUGAAGUGAUCGCGUGUCUGUCCGGAAAAUCCCAGUAAAGCUCAG